GGGGCGGCUCCGCGGGAGGCAGCCGGGCAGGCAGCGAGGCGGAGGGAGAGCGCCCGGCCCGCACCCGCCGCCCGGCCGGGGAGAGGGUGGGCUGGCAACGCUCCCGCCGCCUGUUUGGCCGGUUGUAAGUCGGUGGUCCCCGUCGCGGCCGGCUCUGCCCCAGCUCCUGCCUGUCUCCCUCAGGAUCAUAAUUCACCAGAAGUGCCAUUUAAAUUAAAAGUGACAGGGAUGAGAAUGUGGUGUUCCGUAAGGUGCCGUUGCUAGCUGCUGGCUGAACGGCAGCCUAAACACAGGCUUGAUCCCUCGCUCCACACACAGCCCGCAUGAUCACAGAGUCACAGAAUCAUUAAGGUUGGAAAAGACCACCGAGGCCAUCUGGUCCAACCAUCAGCCCAUCGCCGCCAUGCCCACUAACCGUGUCCCUCAGUGCCACAUAAGUGUCCCUACCAGCAGCAAGUAAGGCCAUCCACCCGACACAGAUUUCUCUUUUUUUCUCUGCUAAACUGAUCAGUGUUACAGAGAAUGGUAGGAGUAAGGCAAUAAUUCUGACAGGAAGUUAAGAGUUAUUCAGCAGCCGUGGAGGAACUGUCAGGACUGACUGCUGUGCAGUGGCUCCCACAUGGAAGCAGGGUGGACGUGUGUCAUGGCCUGCAGCACUGGGACAGAGAGCAGGGCCGGAAGGGGUGUUGCCACUCAGAGCUGCAGAAAGGUGUGAUUGCAAAAUACAGCCAUCCAAACUGGAAACCAGACCACAUGCAGCUUUUAGAUCCAUGUUCUCAAGAAGAAAUGGCACGUAACUCUUAAUGACAUCAAGUGGUCACGACCCAAGUUUGAAAUCUCAUCUGAAGGAAGAGCAUCUCUCCUAAUCCAAUUCCCACUAUGAGCACAUCGGGGCAGCGGUUCAAGGAUGACUCGGAGGGAAGGCUGCCAUAUCCUGACUCACCAGCACCGCUUCCUGCAGCCCGGUCUUUCAAGUCUUCAUCCAGUUACCAGCUCCCAAAGUGAACCCUCUUAUCGGGUGAAGUGUGAUGAAGUCACAGCCCCCCCCAGACUCUGUCUAUACAUAUUGUCCCUCCUCCCUGCUUUUGUCUGGAAAUGUGUUGCUCAUACCGUUCAUAUGAAUAUUUUUCUCACUAAGGUCCCAAGUUAAAUUAUUCAUAAAAUGAAUCAGAUUUGCCAGGAAUUACAUGUAUUGUGAGAGUUGAUUAUUUUGUACUUAUAGACGCUGUGAUUCCAUGAAAAGGCUUCCUAUGAGGUUUUAUUCUUCAGAAGUUAGAAGCUUACCUGACAGCGCUCUUCCCAUCAAAAAUGCAAGUGGAAUAUAUGCAGAAAUAUUAAGUAAAACACCUCCCAUUAAUAACAGUGGAUUUGAGAUACAGAAGUUACUCCCAAAUGGUAUAAAAAAAAAAAAGAUUCCUCACUAGCUUAGUGAUACUAUGCAUGCUUUACCUGCCUCCUCCAAAAAAAAAAAAAAACCCACACCAAAAACUAGAAGAGCAGACCUAAACAAGACAUUUCACAGUGAGAGGUCAAAUCUUUUAGCUGCAAUCUUCAGCAAUUAGCGCUGUCUGUUUUAGUUUGCUGAGGCAAAGCUAAUUAACGACUUCAAACACCAUUUCUCAAAAUGCUGGGUCUAAUCUUAAAAUAUAUAAAUCACGGGGGGAAGCUGCACAUAGCCCCUGAUCUGCUAUGUUUAUGUCUGCAGAGACCUUUCACACAGCUCUAUUGAAGAUCACUCGAGUGUACAAAACUAAUGAAAUUGUUCAAAUUCACUUAGGUGAAAUUGUACCAAAUUGCCUUGGGUAGCCUUAAGGAGGUGUAUUUUGAGCCUGCUUGGGCUGGGCCUGUGCACAUUUGCCUUGAAACGGCAAUUAGCCAGCAAAUGGGCACGGAGGCAGUGUUCUGAACACGUCUGCAGUGCAAGGCAGUAGGAAUUGAGCACCCUGUCUCCAAAGUAAAAACGGGAGCACUCAAAGCAUGGCACAAGUCUGGAAAGCAACUUUGUGACAGGAUAGGCCAGGCAAGAAAAGGAGGGAGUCACUUUCUAUGCCAAUAUCCAGGCUCUGAAGCAAAGCAAGCAAAAGUUCCUGAAUUUCUGCAAACAAAAGAGAAUCCCCACAAACAAAAGAAUUCUCAAGCAUGGCAAUGAGGAAUAUGCAAUCAGUGGCAGUGAUGAAGAAUUAAUGCCAAAGAAGCAAAAGAAGGAAAACAAAGAAAGAAAGAAACCCGCACGUAAAUAUGGAAAGAAAGUAACACAGUCAAAUGCAUUGUGGAAAAACACUGCUUUCACAACUGGAUUAUAACUAAUAUAUAAUCAAUAGGAAAUCAAAAGAUAUUGCAUGAGAGAUAAAUAACAAACACUGAUGCUGUCAAAGAGAAAGCAGCCACAAAUGAUCUAUGGACCGAAAGAGCAUUAGGACACCUGGCUACAGUAUCCAGGAGUGUUGUUAGCUCCCUGGUUCAUGCACACCUUAAUAUUAUCCCAACUCCAUGCUGUGGGAAAACUUAGUGAAUACCAACCCUAUACCAUAAUUUGGUCUCAUAAGAAGGAAACAUAGGUGCAGAAGCUGAAAAAGGCCCUAUAGAGCCCUUUGACCAAGCCCUGGUGUGGAUACCUCGGGACCCAGGAACACAGAGCUCACCAUGAGAGAGCUCCAAGGCAGGCACACAGCAAACUUAAUACAGCUCAAGUCAGUCAAAGUAGCCAGCAGUGCUUUAGGACAGUGCUACAAGAUGAAAGACAACACAAGUGAUUCUGCCUUCAUCUUCAAGGCCACACAUACAAGCCUGUAUCACUGAGACAUUUGGAACCAUUUCUGCCGUUGAUUUGUUUCUCAGGGAAACUGCCUAACCAGAUGUAGCUGCAGCUACAAGUCUGCUUCCUCUGGAGAUGCUCCCUAAGCUCUUCUUCCAACUCUCAUUGCCCAAGCCUCCCCUGGAGAUCUCCUUAGAGGUGCUUGCAGCUUUAUUUUCCAUCCCACUUGUUGCACAAACUCAAUUUUCAUCAUUUACUGUGGAUCUCUUCGUUAUUUUCUUUGGUCUUCCAUCUCCAUUGCCACCAACAUGCAAACAAUUUCCCUUCUGGCUGAGGGAAACAGCAGGGAGUAAUAGGUACAAAAUGAGCAUCUGUGGCUGAGAGGGGUUCCGUGUUGGGCAGAUAUUAUAAAGAACAGCAAACAAAUACAAAAUCAAUUAAUCCAUACCAGAGAAAUUACCAAGGACUACAUGAGAAAAGAGAUGCAGAGGUAAAAAAAAAAAAACAAAAACAAAAAACCAACAAACAAACCAAAACCAAACUCACCCUGUCCUCCUGCGAAAGCCAGAGAGGCUGUUGACAAGUGAGUUUAUCAUUCUGUGUCCUGCCAACCUCCUGUUACAGAGCCCAGAUACCAUGAGCCCACCCAAGUCCGCCUGUCAAAGGAACUGGAUGCUCUCACUGACAAAUGUAAAGAGCUGUGGCAAAAGAUGUUCAAACCCCAGAGUCCCACACACAGCACCUUACAUCUUUUGACUGUUAUAAAACCACCCUGAGCAGUUUCCAAAAUCAUGGCCAGGCCCUAAUGAAUAACUCCUGAAAACAAUAUCGUGGAUGUGUCUGUUAGCAUGCUGAGUGUAUAAUUUCAGUGCCUUCAUUUGUAGUUUGUGCUAAUAAGCAUUAUGUCCCUUCCAAGAGACAGCAGAGAACAAUGCUGCUGCACUCAGUCAGAGACAUCUUCUGGAAGGAGGAGGAAACUGUGCUUUUCCAAGAGCAAUUGAGCAACUUUUCGGGGAAAAGGCUUCUGGAGUGCAGAGCAGGUCAGACAGAGAGUGGAGAAAGACGCAAGGGGCCUGCGGCAUAAGUAGAGAGAGCAGAGCUCUGGGAGGCAGGGAGCACAUUCAGAACCAAAUGCCCACGGCAGUGUAAGCAUUUCUCCCAGGAUGCUAGGAGGGUAUGGAGGGUACACAGUGCGGGAAGCCACUGAAAUUUGUGGACUGAAGGACCGGAACAUAAGGAAACUGUGUAACAGAGAAUAAGGCAGAAGAGUAUUUAAAAACCUUAUUUUCUAUUGUCUCAGCGUUUCAAGGGGAAAUGGUUAUAAACUGGAAGAGGGAAGAUUUAGACUAGAUAUUAGGAAGAAAUUCUUUACUGUGGGGGUGGUGAGACACUGGAACAGGUUGCCCAGAGAAGCUGUGAAUUCCCCCUCCCUGGAAGCAUUCAAGGCCAGGCUGGAUGGGGCUUUGAGCAACCUGGUCUAGAGGGAGGUGUCCCUGCUUAUAGUAGGGGGGGUGGAACUAAAUGAUCCUAAAGGUCCUUCCAACCCAAACCAUUCUAUGAUACUAUGAUUCUAUGAUUCUUCUCUUUAAAAAAUUCAUUGUUCUACUUUAUGUCAUAAUGAAGUCCAUGCGCUCUUUGGCAGCAUAUAUACUAAAAUUGAAAGGAGACAGAAAAGAUUAAUGCGGCACCUGCACAAAUUGAUUUGGGAGUGAUAGGAAGAUUCUACAAUACAAAAAAAAAAAAAAAUAGACAUACAGAGCAAGUCUAGCAGCAGGCUGCAAACUGACUGAGGGCUGGAGAACAGGUGUGUGAGGAGAGGCUGAGAGAGCUGAGUCUGCUCGGUUUGAAGAAUAGAAGGCUCAGAGGAGACCUGGCUGCAGCAGCUAUCUGACCUCAGGAUACAAAGACGGAGGCAGAAUGUUCUUGUGGAUGCACAGAGACAGCCAACAGACACAAGCAGGAACAUGGGAAAUUCAAAUUACAGAACAAGAAAAAAAAAUAACAUGGAAGUGGUCAAAUACUGGAGUAGAAGGUGCGAGAUUGCUAUCUUAGGAAAUAUGUAAAGCUUGAGGGGUAUGACCCUGAGCAACCUGAUUCAGUCAGAUCUCUUUUGAGUGUGGAGUUGGACAAAACAACCUCUUGAGGUCUGAUGUCUUCCAACAUAGGUUAUUCUUUGAUUCUAUGAAAACCAGCUUUCUUGAUUCAGAAGUCUACUGGUUUUAGAUGUUCUUCACUUUAAAGACAAGAAGCAAGAAAGAUCUUUGACAGAGAUCCAGUCAGUCCUGUUGGCUUAAAGAAAUAUCAUGAUAUUUUUGUUUAUUGUUUAUAGUGUUGUUGGCUUUUUAGAUAAACAUUACUGCUUCGUAUUUGUAUGUCCUCUAAGAUACAGCUACCUUAGGUGCUUGAUUCAGCAAGCUACAUGUAUUUUACAUCUCUUCUGUUUGUUUUACCUCUGUUCCCUGUUCUCAAUCCAUAGCUUUCAUCAAAACCAGUUCUGUCCCAUUGCUUAUCCCCACAAGGACUGAAAAAGUGUCUUCAGAUGGCAGGCAUGUGAUUGUAAGACUCCUUCAUCCAUGGUCAGCAAAUAAUUGGAGUUAAGGAAGGACAAAAUCAAAAUGUAAGCAAGAAUAAGUGGGAAAUCAAGAAAUGUGAGAGGGUUCUACAGCAAUUCUACAGCAAUUUAAAAAUGCACAGAAGUUAAUUCCAAUGUAUGAGCUGUGGUGGGUCCACAUCAUCAUUCUAUUUUUAAAGGCAGAGAAAAUGAUAUGCCAAGCAUUUAAGUGACCUGUUCAAAGUCAGGUCGACCACAGUGAGAUGGCGCAGCCCCAGGGUGCGAAAGAUGAUAUACGUGCGUUGCAGCGAGAAGUGGGCUUGGACUGACAUGGCCGAUUUGUUUAUGUAUGGCUCCUGUAAGACAAAGAGAGGAGACACAGGGAGAACACAAAAAUGAAAUGCUUAUAAAAGUCAAUUCAUGUAGAAACACAGACUGUGAGGAAGAGGACAAAGAAAACAAUCACAUGGCUCUGGGAAGAAGAGGACCGCAAGUACUGAAUUCUGGUCACAGAAAGCAAUAAGGUCUAUAACUUGGACUGAGGAAAUAUUCAAAGACAUAAGGAGGAAAAAAAAAUUAAAGCAGAAAUGUUUCAUUUCUUCUAUGCCACAUACAAUUUUGCUGUGGAAUUCACUGCCAUAGGAAAUCAUUAAGCCCAGAAACUUCAGAGCAAACAUUUCUGUGGGUGCCAUAAAAAGACCUUUCAUGAGGAAUAACAAGUUUUUGGAAGAGAUACUAAACUUUCUGCUUCAGGCAUCACAUCAGAGUUGGCUUCGGUCUUACCAGAUUGAUGAAGAGUUGCUGAUACCGGGGAUCUGUAGUGUAGCGAUUCAGCAGCACGGCUAGGCGCGACGGCUUGGGCAGCUUCUCCACUGUUAUCUGGAACAGGCAAGAAUCCAUUUCUCUUUCCUUCUGCACUGCACAUUAGAACCCACGGUUCCAAAGCCUUCCAGUUCAUCUCUAAGAAAAAGCUUUCUAGCAGAGCUACUCUGGCAGACCUUGUCCUUUUUAAAUUCUUCUGCCAGUCAAGCUUAAACCAGUACUCAAAAUAAAACGCUCUGUACUUUAGAAAAAGGAUUUUUUUUCUUAGUGUGACUAACUGUGUCUCUGUUAAGACAAUGUCAGUUACACCGGCCUAGGGGUGAGAUUUUCCACACUGUUACUAAGUGGUAAUUGCAUUAUGAAAUAGUGCAGAAAAAUGCAAUAAAACUGGCAUCAGCCAUCAACUGAGCUUCAAUCUUUUUCCAUAGCAAUUCCUAUUUGUCCUUUGACACCUCAUCCCAUGCAUAAUUGCCGUGUUCACUCUCAAUGUUGUUUUGCCAGCAAAAUUUCCACGUGCAGACCAAUCCCCAGUGAUAUAUGAUGACUUUCCAGUUGUGCCUGUAUAAACCGCUUGAACUCCAUUACCAGUCUUGUUUUGGUAGCAUGUGAUUUUCUUUUACCACACUUAAUGUUUACUAUUCCUAAAAAUCCUUUAGUCACCUAUCGAAGCAAAAAUGCUAUAUGCUUUUCAAGUUUGAAAACUUUUACAAAUAGUAAUCACUCACAGAGGUGCUAUCCCACACAGAAUUAAAUACUAUAAUCUGCUGUUUGUAGAGAAGUUGGGAAAGAAAGGACUGGAACAGCCUAUUUGUGGAAGGACAUGCUUUGCCAGCACUCCUCUGCAACUCUCAGAGUCUGAGUGGCAUUAUGGUUUAUGACAGCUGUCCCUGGAAGUUCUUUAGUCAUAUUCUAAUUUAAAUUGUACCUGACCACUUCUUUCUUUCUUCUCAGCCACAUGAAAUGAAUGAAAGUUCAUUCAUCUUGAGCUCAUUCUAACUCACCCAAUAUAUUCGCUGAUUAAACAGAAAAGAUGUUACCUUCUCAUAGGUUAGAGGAUGUGAGAAGGAGAAAGAUUCGUUGCUUGUCUCUGGUUCAAAGAUGUGCUCAUUCUCCAGCAGCAUGCACAGCUCUAACCUAAAGAUUUUUUUUUUUUUUUAAAGAAAAAAAGCAUAUUUUUAAUGGGAUUUAUUAUAAGGGACAAAUUUUAUAAAGCAAGAACACAAUGCUUUACUAUCCAUAUAUAUCCAUCAGAUAUAUGAUUAGUGGGCUGACCACAGGUUUCACCUUCCUAAACUUCCAUCAUCAAUUACAGCAACACACAGGUGUUUUCUGGUUUAGGUUUGGCUAAUUGAAUUAUAAGACAUCACCUACCUACACAUGACCUGGAUCAACCUGCUUGGCAGGAACAGCGUAUGUAGUAGUUUGCACCCAACAAAACAAUAUAAAUAAUAAGCAAAUACAGCUAUUUGCAUUUAAGGAGAUAGGCUGUUGUGCCUUUCCACAUCCUUCUUAAGUAACAUCCACAUUAAAAUGAGAUCUGCAAGAAAUUCACAACCCAUUUUAAAUCAUCAGUGGAACCUUUUCUCACAGUACUGCUCUCUAGAAUUCAUUCAGGCAUUUAAUAUUCUUGCUGACUUAGUCCCUUGGUUUAGGAUAUCUUUAUCAAUCAUUACAUCAUUUCAAAACUUUUUUUUAGAAUUCUCCUGUUCCAUACUACGCGUAAAAAUAUUUGACAUGCCAUAUAUUCAAAAUGUCACUUUUAUCCAGUGCUUCCUUGCUUCACCACUGCGUGCACACAUGCGCUCCAUCCGCACUACCCACUUCCAGUCUUUUGAAUAUGUUUAGAUAAUAAACAUCUUGGGGACCACCACAAAGCUUUUUGUUUUGCAACAUGCUUAACAUCAUGUUAGCCCUCCUCCACUACCCUAACUAUUACAGCUAGCAGCUACUACAGAAACGUAGACAUGCAACACAGUGCUAAAUGAUGUGCUUGAGGGACCAGGCACGCAACCUUCACUGGGUCAUUGCAAGGGAGGUACAAAG